AUUGAACGCUGGCGGCAGGCUUAACACAUGCAAGUCGAACGAGUGGCGGACGGGUUAGUAAUGCUUGGGAAUCUAGCUUAUGGAGGGGGAUAACUACGGGAAACUGUCGCUAAUACCGCAUACAAUAGGAUGAGCCCAAGUGGGAGUAGGUAGUUGGUGGGGGAAAGGCUCACCAAGCCGACGAUCUCUAGCUGGUCUGAGAGGAUGACCGGCCACACGGGGACUGAGACACGGCCCAGACUCCUACGGGAGGCAGCAGUGGGGAAUAGUGCGAAAUGGGGGCAACCUGACGCAGCCAUGCCGCGUGAAUGAAGAAGGCCUUCGGGUUGUAAAGUUCUUUCGGUAGGGAGGCGUUAACUACAGAAGAAGCACCGGCUAACUCCGUGCCAGCAGCCGCGGUAAUUC
rnacentral:rRNA from 1 species